rnacentral:rRNA from 1 species
AGCAGCCGCGGUAAUUCCAGCUCCAAUAGCGUAUAUUAAAGUUGUUGCAGUUAAAAAGCUCGUAGUUGAAUUUUGGAUUCUGCCAAUUGGUCCAUCUUUUAGAUGAGUACUGGUUGUGUGGGGUCUAUCCGCCUGGUGAUACGUAAUGUCCUUUAUUGGAUGUUGCGGGUAGUCAGGACCUUUACCUUGAAAAAAUUAGAGUGUUUAAAGCAGGCUUAUGCCGGAAUACAUUAGCAUGGAAUAACAGAAUAGGACGAAGUUGUUUUAUUUUGUUGGUUUCUAGGACAACCGUAAUGAUUAAUAGGGAUAGUUGGGGGCAUUAGUAUUCAAUUGUCAGAGGUGAAAUUCUUGGAUUUAUUGAAGACUAACUACUGCGAAAGCAUUUGCCAAGGAUGUUUUCAUUAAUCAAGAACGAAAGUUAGGGAUCGAAGACGAUCAGAUACCGUCGUA